rnacentral:pre_miRNA from 1 species
AUAUAAAUCACCUGGAGAUUUUGUUAAAAUGUAGAUUCUGACUCAGAAGGUCUGAAGUAGAACCCCAGAAUCUAAAUUUCUAACAAGCUUCCAAGUGAUAGUGAU